UCCCUGGAGGUCUAGUGGUUAAGACUUAGCCUUCCAAGGCAAAGAAUGCAGGUUCAAUCCCUGUUUAGCGAG
rnacentral:tRNA from 1 species